rnacentral:rRNA from 1 species
GACGUAGGGGGCGAGCGUUGUCCGGAAUUAUUGGGCGUAAAGGGCUCGUAGGCGGUCUGUUGCGUCGGGAGUGAAAACUCAGGGCUUAACCCUGAGCCUGCUUCCGAUACGGGCAGACUAGAGGUAUGCAGGGGAGAACGGAAUUCCUGGUGUAGCGGUGAAAUGCGCAGAUAUCGGGAGGAACACCGGUGGCGAAGGCGGGUCUCUGGGCCGAUACUGACGCUGAGGAGCGAAAGCGUGGGGAGCGAACAGGAUUAGAUACCGGA